GAUGAACGCUGGCGGCGUGCCUAAUACAUGCAAGUCGAGCGAACGGACGAGAAGCUUGCUCCUCUGAUGUUAGCGGCGGACGGGUGAGUAACACGUGGAUAACCUACCUAUAAGACUGGGAUAACUUCGGGAAACCGUAGCUAAUACCGGAUAAUAUUUUGAACCGCAUGGUUCAAAAGUGAAAGACGGUAUUGCUGUCACUUAUAGAUGGAUCCGCGCUGCAUUAGCUAGUUGGUAAGGUAACGGCUUACCAAGGCAACGAUGCAUAGCCGACCUGAGAGGGUGAUCGGCCACACUGGAACUGAGACACGGUCCAGACUCCUACGGGAGGCAGCAGUAGGGAAUCUUCCGCAAUGGGCGAAAGCCUGACGGAGCAACGCCGCGUGAGUGAUGAAGGUCUUCGGAUCGUAAAACUCUGUUAUUAGGGAAGAACAUAUGUGUAAGUAACUGUGCACAUCUUGACGGUACCUAAUCAGAAAGCCACGGCUAACUACGUG
rnacentral:rRNA from 1 species